rnacentral:rRNA from 1 species
UACAGAGGGGGCAAGCGUUGUUCGGAAUUACUGGGCGUAAAGGGCGCGUAGGCGGCCUGCUAAGUCGAACGUGAAAUCCCCGGGCUCAACCCGGGAACUGCGUCCGAGACUGGCGGGCUUGAAUCCGGGAGAGGGAUGCGGAAUUCCAGGUGUAGCGGUGAAAUGCGUAGAUAUCUGGAGGAACACCGGUGGCGAAGGCGGCAUCCUGGACCGGUAUUGACGCUGAGGCGCGAAAGCCAGGGGAGCAAACGGG